rnacentral:rRNA from 1 species
UGAUUACGUCCCUGCCCUUUGUACACACCGCCCGUCGCUGCCCGGGACUGAGCCAUUUCGAGAAAUUUGGGGACCGUUAAUUAAACAUUUAUUUGUUUUUUUGAUGGAAACCAAUUUAAUCGCAGUGGCUUGAACCGGGCAAAAGUCGUAACAAGGUAGCUGUAGGUGAACCUGCUGCUGGAUCAUUA